GAUGAACGCUGGCGGCGUGCUUAACACAUGCAAGUCGAACGGUGGAAGAGAGCUUGCUCUCUGGAUCAGUGGCGAACGGGUGAGUAACACGUGAGCAAUCUGCCCCUGACUCUGGGAUAAGCGCUGGAAACGGCGUCUAAUACCGGAUACGAGCUGCGAGGGCAUCUUCAGCAGCUGGAAAGAACUUCGGUCAGGGAUGAGCUCGCGGCCUAUCAGCUUGUUGGUGAGGUAAUGGCUCACCAAGGCGUCGACGGGUAGCCGGCCUGAGAGGGUGACCGGCCCCACUGGGACUGACACACGGCCCUGACUCCUACGGGAGGCAGAAGUGGGUAAUAUUGCACAAUGGGCGAAAGCCUGAUGAAGCAACGCCGCGUGAGGGACGACGGCCUUCGGGUUGUAAACCUCUUUUAGCAGGGAAGAAGCGAAAGUGACGGUACCUGCAGAAAAAGCACCGGCUAACUACGUGCCAGCCGCCGCCGUAA
rnacentral:rRNA from 1 species